rnacentral:rRNA from 1 species
AUUGAACGCUGGCGGCAUGCUUUACACAUGCAAGUCGAACGGUAACAGGCCGCAAGGUGCUGACGAGUGGCGAACGGGUGAGUAAUGCAUCGGAACGUGCCCAGUCGUGGGGGAUAACUGCUCGAAAGAGCAGCUAAUACCGCAUACGAUCUAUGGAUGAAAGCGGGGGACCGUAAGGCCUCGCGCGAUUGGAGCGGCCGAUGUCAGAUUAGGUAGUUGGUGGGGUAAAGGCUCACCAAGCCAACGAUCUGUAGCUGGUCUGAGAGGACGACCAGCCACACUGGGACUGAGACACGGCCCAGACUCCUACGGGAGGCAGCAGUGGGGAAUUUUGGACAAUGGGCGCAAGCCUGAUCCAGCCAUGCCGCGUGCAGGAUGAAGGCCUUCGGGUUGUAAACUGCUUUUGUACGGAACGAAAAGGCUCUUUCUAAUAAAGAGGGCUCAUGACGGUACCGUAAGAAUAAGCACCGGCUAACUACGUGCCAGCCGCCGCGGUAAGAC